CACUAAUGAUUCCUAAACUAGAGAAGAUUAGAGGGAUGCUUAACCUCACAGAUAAUGAAUGGUUACUUCUGAAACCCCAAUCCACUAAAUGCAAUGAAUGGUUAACUGGUAAUGUUUCACAUUUUUCAUGCUCAUGCUAUUUUACACUAUAUCAUACAUCAUCAAAGGAUGUUAAAUUAGCUUGUCAAUUUAACACAUUACCAGUACCAGUUUAUGAUCUCUUUACCAGGAAUUUAACCUGGUGGGCACCCACAUACACAGGGGACUAUAUUUUCCCCAAAGAUAAUAUGACCUAUUCCCUUAAACACUGUGUUCUCACUGACAAAGGAUAUGCAUGUCGACACUCGUCCCCUAUUUACGAACCAUGCUUACUCCAAAAUGAACUUAACAAGUGCAUAUGGCACAUAUAUCCUGAAAAUUAUUUUACCAUGGCUGAAAUAAGCACACGACAUAUCUGUUUGGCAACUAAC